rnacentral:rRNA from 1 species
AAAAUGAAUCUUAGUUCCCUCUUGACCUCCCUCCCCGGACACAACCCUAACCUUAAUGUAGCGUAUCAAGAGUAAUUUAAAGGAGGUACAGCUCCUUUAAAAAAGGGUACAACCUACAUUAGUGGAUAAUCACCCAACUUCUACCCCCAGACUGUAGGCCCUUAAGCAGCCAUCAAUAAAGAGUGCGUCAAAGCUCCAAACACAAAAAUCCAACAACAUCAUGACUCCCUUCCCACUAACAGGCUAACCUAUGCCAAUAGGAGCAUCAAUGCUAAAAUGAGUAACUAGGGACUUCCCUCUCAAGCGCAAACUUACACUCUACAUUAUUAACAGACAAUAGGCCAAUAUCCUCACUAUAACAAGACCAAAAUAUUAAACCCACCCUGUUACCCCAACUAAAGGAGCGCUCACUAGAAGGAUUAAAAUCUGUAAAAGGAACUAGGCAAACCCAAGGCCCGACUGUUUACCAAAAACAUAGCCUUCAGCCCACCAAGUAUUGAAGGUGAUGCCUGCCCAGUGACAUAAUGUUUAACGGCCGCGGUAUCCUAACCGUGCGAAGGUAGCGCAAUCAAUUGUCCCAUAAAUCGAGACUUGUAUGAAUGGCUAAACGAGGUCUUAACUGUCUCUUACAGAUAAUCAGUGAAAUUGAUCUUCCCGUGCAAAAGCAGGAAUUGUAACAUAAGACGAGAAGACCCUGUGGAACUUAAAAAUCAACGGCCACUGCAUACAAACUUAACCCUACUAGGCUUACUAUUCCUAAAUGCUGGCCCGUAUUUUUCGGUUGGGGCGACCUUGGAGAAAAACAAAUCCUCCAAAAAUAAGACCACACCUCUUAACCAAGAGCAACCACUCAACGUACCAACAGUGACCAGACCCAAUACAAUUGAUCAAUGGACCAAGCUACCCCAGGGAUAACAGCGCAAUCUCCUCUAAGAGCCCCCAUCGACGAGGAGGUUUACGACCUCGAUGUUGGAUCAGGACAUCCUAAUGGUGCAGCCGCUA